GACGAACGCUGGCGGCGUGCUUAACACAUGCAAGUCGAACGGAAAGGCCCUGCUUUUGUGGUGUUCUCGAGUGGCGAUCGGGUGAGUAACACGUGAGUAACCUGCCCUUGACUUUGGGAUAACUUCAGGAAACUGGAGCUAAUACCGGAUAGGAGCUCCUGCUGCGUUGUGGGGGUUGGAAAGUUUCGGCUGUUGGGGAUGGACUCGCGGCUUAUCAGCUUGUUGGUGGGGUAGUGGCUUACCAAGGCAUUGACGGGUCGGCCGCCUGAGAGGGUGACCGGCGACAAUGGGACUGAGAUACGGCGCAGACGCCUACGGGAGGCAGUAGGGGGGAAUAUUGCACAAUGGGCGCGAGCCUGAUGCAGCAACGCUGCGGGCGGGAUGACGGCCUUCGGGUUGUAAAACGCUUUCGCCUGUGACGAAGCGUGAGUGACGGUAAUGGGUAAAGAAGCACCGGCUAACUACGUG
rnacentral:rRNA from 1 species